AAAGCGUGCGCAGGCGGUUAUGUAAGACAGAUGUGAAAUCCCCGGUCUCAACCUGGGAACUGCAUUUGUGACUGCAUGGCUAGAGUACGGUAGAGGGGGAUGGAAUUCCGCGUGUAGCAGUGAAAUGCGUAGAUAUGCGGAGGAACACCGAUGGCGAAGGCAAUCCCCUGGACCUGUACUGACGCUCAUGCACGAAAGCGUGGGGAGCAAACAGGAUUAGAUACCCGAGU
rnacentral:rRNA from 1 species